rnacentral:lncRNA from 1 species
CUAAUUGUGAAAAAUUAACAAUAACUUUUAUCAAAAUCUUGUUACAUUAUCAAUUAACCUAAAAAAACAAAAGAAGAAAGCAUUUAUAAAAAAAUAUAUGUAAUCAUACCAGUAUAAUCUAUUUUCAUUGUCAUUACCUGGAAAUAUUCAAUAUAAAUAUUUUAUAUUCAUCUUCACAAUCAAUUUAAACUUUCCUAUGUUUCUUUGUUCAAAACACAUGGUUGUAUUGAUCACAAAAAAGCAAUGAGUUACUUGUUCCAUGAACAAAAUAAACAAAGAAGACAUAAGUUAAUGAACAAAUGUAAAAGUAGAAGGGAAUUUGCCCGGCUUGUGCUUAUGCAAUUAUUUAUAAAAUGAAUUUGAGAAAGUGGUUUUUUGUGAGGUGAAUUUUGGCGUGUCUCAAUGGAGUGAAUAAGGAGCUCUUUGAAGGAAUGCUUUAAUUUACAUUAUUUUUUAUAUGAAUUUAUUUUAAGAUAUGGUAGUUAUUUAUUGUUAUUGUUACUUUUCCAUAACACUUUUCAAAGUAAAUAGCAAUAGUCUAUGAGGUCCAGUCAAAAUAAAAGUGAUUGAAAAAUGGGUCAGAAUUCAUCUUCUGUGGGAUCAACAUGUUCAUGUGGAAGAUUGCAAAAUAAUUGUUUGGAGAAUUAUAUACUCUGUAUUGAAAUAAGGGGUGCUAUAGAAUUCAGAAAUAAAUCAAAGACAAACAUUAAUGGUCCUUACAAAGGGUAGAUUAUGGAACAAGGGGAUAAGAUGUUUUAAAACAUAAAGGAAUCAACAUUGAGAACAAGUUUAUGGGACCUCAUUCCAAAAGUAUUCCAAGAAGGGUAAAUAUAAUCAUAGUGAUAUAUAAGCAUUUUUUAUUUUAUUUUUUUGUCAUGAAGGUAGUUAUGGCAUUCUAUGACUAGAAUGUUUUUUCUUUUAUAUAUCAACUAGAAAAUAAAUUAUGAAGAAUUGUUAUAUUUUUAUGCUAAUUCUUUUUAACAUUUUGAGAUCAAAAUUUUGAUUUUUCUUGUCAAUCAGAUUUAGAUAUUCAAGAACAUGCAAGCCAAAUUCACAUUCAGCAUCAUUAUUCUACAUAAUCUAUUGCGUUCAGUGAUAUUAUUGAAUAAAUAUAGUUUUUUCUGCUUUGAUAAGAGCAUGAAAAGACUUGAUAUUGAAUCUUGUUUGAUAAUUAUACCUAUCAAAAAAUAUCACAUAGAAUUUAACAUGAUUUUCCUUCACAGUUUUACAAUUGUAAUUCUGAUUUCUUAAAAUUCCAAACUAUUAUAAAUUCAAUUGAAUAAAUAAGAAACUA